GGAUUAUCUUGUGGAUUAUCUUCCGAAGCUGCUGUUCUGCUUCUAAAAGAUUGAGAAAUCGGUUGUCAGAGACCUUGCCUCCGGCAGCAUCUGUAGUGCACACUGCACAAUUAGCAUGUGUCUCUGACUGCCAUCUGCUGAGUGACCCGUCGGGCGGCAUGUGAGAAUCUGCAGCUCUGUAAUGAUCAGAAAUCCCGUGCACCAUUCGUAUGACAUAACGUGCAUAUCUGGAGGAUGUAGAUGCACUGAUGUCUUAAACACACAUCCCGUCUUCCAAGGUCUGCUGUUAAACGCUCCUGUGGAUGUAUUUCUCCCAUUGAUCUGUGUUUGGCUGCAGGCUUCUACAGAGAGAG
ensembl:lncRNA